rfam:Lupinus angustifolius cultivar Tanjil chromosome LG04, whole genome shotgun sequence.
GAAUUAGACACACAAAUACAAUGAAAUAAUCCCAACUGUCACUGAUUUGUUGAAUUAAUAAUCAUCAGAAGAAUCAAAAUCUGAUGCAUGUUCACCAAUAGGCCGGUAGUAUAUAUUGUACUGUUCUUUGUGAUUUUUCACCAACUAAAAGCGCAUCCCGCAUGUUUAGUUGCCAACGUUGAGCAUGGAACCUUGAGCAGUCUGUUGGUGAUAAGCCGGAGGAAGGUGAGGAUUAGGUCAAGUCAUCAUGCCCCUUAUGCCCUGGGUGACACACGUACUACAAUGGCUGGGACAAAGGAUCGCGAUCCCGCGAGGGUGAGCUAACUCCAAAAACUCGUCCGCAAUUCGGAUUGUAAGCUGCAACUCGCCUGUAUGAAGCU